rnacentral:rRNA from 1 species
AACGAACGCUGGCGGCAUGCCUAACACAUGCAAGUCGAACGAGACCUUCGGGUCUAGUGGCGAACGGGUGCGUAACGCGUGGGAACCUGCCCUUAGGUUCGGAAUAACUCCCCGAAAGGGGUGCUAAUACCGGAUAAUGUCUUCGGACCAAAGAUUUAUCGCCUUUGGAUGGGCCCGCGUUGGAUUAGCUAGUUGGUAGGGUAAAAGCCUACCAAGGCGACGAUCCAUAGCUGGUCUGAGAGGAUGAUCAGCCACACUGGGACUGAGACACGGCCCAGACUCCUACGGGAGGCAGCAGUGGGGAAUAUCGGACAAUGGGCGAAAGCCUGAUCCAGCAAUGCCGCGUGAGUGAUGAAGGCCUUAGGGUUGUAAAGCUCUUUUACCCGGGAUGAUAAUGACAGUACCGGGAGAAUAAGCACCGGCUAACUCCGUG